rnacentral:rRNA from 1 species
GACGAACGCUGGCGGCGUGCCUAAUACAUGCAAGUCGAACGCUUUUUCUUUCACCGGAGCUUGCUCCACCGAAAGAAAAAGAGUGGCGAACGGGUGAGUAACACGUGGGUAACCUGCCCAUCAGAAGGGGAUAACACUUGGAAACAGGUGCUAAUACCGUAUAACACUAUUUUCCGCAUGGAAGAAAGUUGAAAGGCGCUUUUGCUGCACUGAUGGAUGGACCCGCGGUGCAUUAGCUAGUUGGUGAGGUAACGGCUCACCAAGGCAACGAUGCAUAGCCGACCUGAGAGGGUGAUCGGCCACACUGGGACUGAGACACGGCCCAGACUCCUACGGGAGGCAGCAGUAGGGAAUCUUCGGCAAUGGACGAAAGUCUGACCGAGCAACGCCGCGUGAGUGAAGAAGGUUUUCGGAUCGUAAAACUCUGUUGUUAGAGAAGAACAAGGAUGAGAGUAGAACGUUCAUCCCUUGACGGUAUCUAACCAGAAAGCCACGGCUAACUACGUGCCAGCCGCCGCUGUAA